rnacentral:rRNA from 1 species
GACGGGGACCCGCACAAGCGGUGGAGCAUGUGGUUUAAUUCGAAGCAACGCGAAGAACCUUACCAAAUCUUGACAUCCUUUGACAACUCUAGAGAUAGAGCCUUCCCCUUCGGGGGACAAAGUGACAGGUGGUGCAUGGUUGUCGUCAGCUCGUGUCGUGAGAUGUUGGGUUAAGUCCCGCAACGAGCGCAACCCUUAAGCUUAGUUGCCAUCAUUAAGUUGGGCACUCUAAGUUGACUGCCGGUGACAAACCGGAGGAAGGUGGGGAUGACGUCAAAUCAUCAUGCCCCUUAUGAUUUGGGCUACACACGUGCUACAAUGGACAAUACAAAGGGCAGCGAAACCGCGAGGUCAAGCAAAUCCCAUAAAGUUGUUCUCAGUUCGGAUUGUAGUCUGCAACUCGACUACAUGAAGCUGGAAUCGCUAGUAAUCGUAGAUCAGCAUGCUACGGUGAA